rnacentral:piRNA from 1 species
UGACACCUUUGAAUGGUUAGGGCAGGAAU